rnacentral:rRNA from 1 species
AGUGAACGCUGGCGGUAGGCCUAACACAUGCAAGUCAAACGAUGGCACUGUAAGAGCUUGCUCUUACGGGUGGCGAGUGGCGGACUGGUGAGCCAUACACAGGCAUCUACUUUUUCGUGAGGGAUCAUGAAGGGAAACUUACGCUAAUACCGCCUUCGACCUACGAGUGAAAGCAGGGGAUCUUCGGACCUUGCGCGAUCGUAUGAGCCUAUGUCGGAUUAGCUAGUUGGCGGGGGAAAGGCCCACCAAGGCGACGCUCCGUAGCUGGUCUGAGAGGAUGAUCAGCCACACUGGAACGGAGACACGGUCCAGACUCCUACGGGGGGCCACAGUGGGGAAUAUUGGACAAUGGGCGCAAGCCUGAUCCAGCCAUACCGCGUGGGUGAAGAAGGCCUUCGGGUUGUAAAGCCCUUUUGUUGGGAAAGAAAAGCAGCAGGUUAAUACCCCGCUGUUCUGACGGUACCCAAAGAAUAAGCACCGGCUAACUUCGUG